rnacentral:lncRNA from 1 species
AUAGCAACAGCAGCGUAGCUGAACAUCUUACGGAUGGCCCAGGGCUCCAAAGGCUCGUUUCCUAAGUGAGAGAGAGCCUGGCUGAAGCUGUAUUACCAUUCAUUCUCCAGCCUCCGAAGUCUCAAAGCAUCACUUCCACCAUACUCUAACUGUCAAGACAAACACAAAGGCCCAGAGAAGGGGUCUCACUAUGUUGUCUGGAGUGCUGUGGUGGAGUGGAGUGGCUAUUCACAGGAUUCUUGGAAUGGACUGUAAAAGUCUGGAAUCAAGACUUUGUGUUUCCUCUCUAACAUGUAAAGAGCUUAGAAGUUGUCGCUAUUGCCCUUACAACAAAAUGAAGCUGGACAAACUGAAAAUCAAUGACUUUUCUUGGACUCACUAUACAGCUGAGUUUGCAGAGUAAACCACUACCCUGAAAUCUGGAAAGGCAGGUGCACCCACAGAUCCUCAGCUGAGAUCCAAUUACCUGAAAUAGAAGCUGCCAUUAGGAACACUUAAAAGAGCCUGUUCUGCUGGGACACAGAAUCACUUGCUCCAUCUCAUACAUUGAUGAUGAUUAAUUUGUAUGUGUACCUUCCAAAAAAGAUGGUUGUGUUUGAAUGGAGGCCUUCUGGACAGGAAAAUAUGGAGAGUGCGUGCUUUGGAUUCAAGACUGGGAAUGAGGGGACCAGAAACCUAUUCUGUGGCUGUUUCUUGUUAGGACUUUCCUAAGCCUCUGGAAAAGUGCAAAGUACAAUUAACAUUUGAGUCUGUCUGAGUCAUGAAGAAAUGGAGAUUACUGAAAAUAAUUCAUUUUGGUAUCUUCUUACAUCCUGAGAGACUAAUCUUUCCAAGUUCAUCUGAGGCUCCUCUUCUCCAUGACAACCUCAUCCAGGGAUUUCUUCCUGUCCUGGUGUUUUAUGACAUGUGGAAGGGGACUGUAGCAGGUGAUCUCCAAAGUCUCUGGAGACUUACUAAUGUGCAUCCUCAUCUCGCUUGUAAGGAUAAUAGCCUUCCUCCAAACCUCACACACUUUUGGAGGAGAUCACUUUUUUUAAAGUGCAUGGAAAUGUUUUGAAACAGUGAAAUCUAUAAUGAUAGGUUUCAUAAUUCUAACAUCCACACCAUAUGAAUCACAUCCUUCCUGAGAUAAUGAGCACACAAUUGCCUGGAUACCUGAAGGAAUGGAGACAGCGGCAGAAAACACUGCAGAGAGGUGGAAACAUCCGUUAAUAUUUUAAAAUCCCAUUACUGCUACCAACAAUAAUAAUGGAUGCAUAGAAAUAGAUCUGGAUUAGCUGAGCUUGAAACAGUCCAUCUCACACACACACAAAAGAAUUUCAGGUAAUGAAGAAAAGAAAA